ensembl:lncRNA
AGAGGAAAGAGAGAGGAAAGGAGAGAAGGCAUAGGAAAGUGCAGAGGAGGAACAAGAAGAGGGGAAAAGAACAAAAAGAAGAAGAGGUCAAAAAAUAAGAGGAAAGGAGAGGAGAUGGAAAGGACACAGAGAGGAUGUGACUGGGAUAUACAAGCAUCCGUCGUUCCUGUUGGGGAACUUUAUUUGAGGCUUUCACUAUGCCCAGCAGUCAGAGGCUCUAUUGUAUUGGAAAGGCAGUCAGGCGGGAAUGAAUGGAGCCCCUUUAAGAUGAAGGUAAAUGGGCUGGGUUAUGGGAGGUGUGGAACAUCUUGCAAAAGAUUGCGUGUGUGGUUGCCUCAUUUCCCUCACCUUCUCUGUCUUUGCAGUGUACGUGAUAAUGGAUACUGGAUCCCAAAUGUUCCUCUUCUGAUAUCCUACACAAUAAUGCACACUAUGCUGCAGCCGAAGACCUUACUGACCAACCCAGGAGGUAUAACGGUCAGCUGGAAAGUCCAUCUUUGCUCUGAACACAU